rnacentral:lncRNA from 1 species
UGGAUUAUCGGUAUAACAAUCAACAUCUAUAACGAUGAUCGACCAACUCAUAUUACAGGGAUGGGAUUUAAGAUAAUGUGAACUUAUUGUUAACGUUAAGAUCUUCUGCCACAUUCCAAUCACGUAAGACGUCCUGAUCCUGCACAAUAAACACGAUCAACACCAAAAACUUGACGGUUUCGACUGUCGGAAGAUAGCUCAGGCGUGAGAGUCAGUACAGGCGAUCACAAGGGUUAACUAUGGAGGAUAAAAUAUCUAGUAUAUUGAGAGAGAUAAAAUUAUCAAUUACCUGUUCUUGGACGACUUCCUCGCUGUGAUAUACUCUCCAACCCGGUUUACCGUGCCAUCCACUACCGUCAGACACAGUUCCCCACUGUAGGUGAUCUCAGUCGACUGCAUGCAGAAACUGCUACCUCAUCUCACUGUUUCCCACCGCCAACCGACUAAU